rnacentral:rRNA from 1 species
AUUGAACGCUGGCGGCAUGCUUUACACAUGCAAGUCGAACAGCAGCGGGGAGGAGCUUGCUUCUCUGCCGGCGAGUGGCGAACGGGUGAGUAAUACAUCGGAACGUGUCGAGAAGAGGGGGAUAACCACCCGAAAGGGUGGCUAAUACCGCAUAAAUUCUGAGGCAGAAAGCUGGGGACCUAGGAAUAGGCCUAGCGCUUUUUGAGCGGCCGUUGUCGGAUUAGCUAGUUGGUGAGGUAAAGGCUCACCAAGGCGAAGAUCUGUAGCGGGUCUGAGAGGAUGAUCCGCCACACUGGGACUGAGACACGGCCCAGACUCCUACGGGAGGCAGCAGUGGGGAAUUUUGGACAAUGGGGGCAACCCUGAUCCAGCCAUGCCGCGUGUAUGAAGAAGGCCUUAGGGUUGUAAAGUACUUUUGUUAGGGAAGAAAAGUCAGCUGUGAAUAAUGGCUGAUACUGACGGUACCUAAAGAAUAAGCACCGGCUAACUACGUG